AGCGGCGGAUGGGUGAGUAACACGUGGGGAACCUGCCCCUAAGUCUGGGAUACCAUUUGGAAACAGGUGCUAAUACCGGAUAAUAAAGCAGAUCGCAUGAUCAGCUUUUGAAAGGCGGCGUAAGCCGUCGCUAAGGGAUGGCCCCGCGGUGCAUUAGCUAGUUGGUAAGGUAACGGCUUACCAAGGCGACGAUCCAUAGCCGAGUUGAGAGACUGAUCGGCCACAUUGGGACUGAGACACGGCCCAAACUCCUACGGGAGGCAGCAGUAGGGAAUCUUCCACAAUGGACGCAAGUCUGAUGGAGCAACGCCGCGUGAGUGAAGAAGGUUUUCAGAUCGUAAAGCUCUGUCGUUGGUGAAGAAGGAUAGAGGUAGUAACUGGCCUUUAUUUGACGGUAAUCAACCAGAAAGUCACGGCUAACUACGUGCCAGCAGCCGCGGUAAUACGUAGGUGGCAAGCGUUGUCCGGAUUUAUUGGGCGUAAAGCGAGCGCAGGCGGAAAAAUAAGUCUAAUGUGAAAGCCCUCGGCUUAACCGAGGAACUGCAUCGGAAACUGUUUUUCUUGAGUGCAGAAGAGGAGAGUGGAACUCCAUGUGUAGCGGUGGAAUGCGUAGAUAUAUGGAAGAACACCAGUGGCGAAGGCGGCUCUCUGGUCUGCAACUGACGCUGAGGCUCGAAAGCAUGGGUAGCGAACAGGAUUAGAUACCCUGGUAGUCCAUGCCGUAAACGAUGAGUGCUAAGUGU
rnacentral:rRNA from 1 species